AAAUGAAUUGACGGGGGCCCGCACAAGCGGUGGAGUAUGUGGUUUAAUUCGAAGCAACGCGCAGAACCUUACCUGGGCUUAACAUCCACUGACAAUCGCAGAGAUGUGACUUUCCCUUCGGGGACAGUGAGAUAGGUGCUGCAUGGCUGUCGUCAGCUCGUGUCGUAAGAUGUUGGGUUAAGUCCCGCAACGAGCGCAACCCUUGCCUUUAGUUGCCACCAUUAAGUUGGGCACUCUGAAGGGACUGCCGGUGUUAAACCGGAGGAAGGCGGGGAUGACGUCAAGUCCUCAUGGCCCUUACGUCCAGGGCUACACACGUACUACAAUGGCAGAGACAAAGCGUCGCGAAGCCGCGAGGUGGAGCUAAUCGCAAAAACACUGUCUCAGUCCGGAUUGAAGUCUGCAACUCGACUUCAUGAAGCUGGAAUCGCUAGUAAUCGCAGAUCAGCACGCUGCGGUGAAUACGUUCCCGGGCCUUGUACACACCGCCCGU
rnacentral:rRNA from 1 species